UACGGGGGGGAGCAAGCGUUGUUCGGAUUUACUGGGCGUAAAGGGCGCGUAGGCGGUCAGCACAAGUCAGUUGUGAAAUCUCCGGGCUUAACUCGGAAAGGUCAACUGAUACUGUGCGACUAGAGUGUGGAAGGGGCAAUCGGAAUUCUUGGUGUAGCGGUGAAAUGCGUAGAUAUCAAGAGGAACACCUGAGGUGAAGACGGGUUGCUGGGCCAACACUGACGCUGAGGCGCGAAAGCCAGGGGAGCAAACGGG
rnacentral:rRNA from 1 species